GGCGGCCUGGGAGACACGCGUGUCUCUCUAUUUCUGUCUCUGUCUCUUUGUAUCUCUCUGUCUCUGUCUCUUUCUUUCUCUGCAUUUCUCUCUCCGGGUCUUUCCCUUGUUCUCUCUGUCUCACUCUGAUUCUGUCUCUGUCCCUGUCUCUCUGUAUUUUUUUCUCUCGGUCUGUCUCUGCUUCUCUCUAUCUCUGUCUCUCUCUGUAUUUUUCUCUUCCUCCGUUGGUCUGUCUCUGUCUCUGCUUCUCUGUUUCUCUGUGUCUCUGUUUCUCUCGGACUCUCUGUCUCUCUGUCUGACAGGGUCAUCAGAGCCUGAACAAGUCCUCCCGCAAUGACCUACCAGGUGGUGCCAGGCCUGUAGCAGGUACCCUGGAUCGGAUCGGCUGCUCUGCUCCACGAGGCUCCCAGCACCAUCUCAGCAGGCAGGUUGCCAGGAAGGCCACGACCCGCUCAAGCUCCUCUCGUGACGAGGACGCCACCUGAAACAGUCGGGCUGCAGUCGCCGCCGUCCUCCGGCUCCCACUCUGCUGGGGUCUCCCUGCUGACCCGGCUUCCCCAGCGCCUCCGGUUCUUCCCAGCCCGAUCUCUCUCCACUGUCAUCCUCAGUGCCAGCCUGUCUCCCACGCCAGCUCGUAAACUCCAGGGUGGCGACUUUGUCUCACUUUCUUUUGUGUUCUGAGCACCUGACCUGGGCAGCCCUGAAGGCAGCUGUGUGAGGGUGAGUCUGCUCACGUGCCUACCCUAUGAUGAGGUGUCCUGCUCACCUGUGGGGUCAUGCAGGGCCGCUGCUCCCCUAAUGCGAUCCCAUAAACAGUGCAGAGGUUGUCUCGGGGCUCUCGCAGCUGCUACGUGGCGCCUCCGCUGAGCGUCACCCAGAGGGCAGCAGCGAAGGAGGGGCCGAGCUCUCCACCUCCUGCUCCCUCUCCUCUCUAACUUUUCCUGCUGCCGUUCUCUUCCUGGGGCUGGGGCUGAAACCCUGGCAUCAUUAUCUCUGCAAACUCAUCUCUGUAAAUGCCCAGGCAGGCGUUCUCCCUCCUCCCACCCACGGACCCCCGCUUAGUCCAGCUCUUACCUGGGUUCUUGCAGAAACUUCCUAACAGGUGUGUCCAGGAAGCACUUCAGAUGUUUUCUCUGCUGCUUCUGGUUAUCUUUUAAAUCAGAGAUGGGGGAGUCAGGCCCCAUUUAAACGUCUCCUGGAGCCGAGUGGGAGGACAGCUCUUGGGCGUUGCCUGGGCUGGUGGGGCCAGCUCCCUCCUGACUGCCCCGCUGUCUGCCAAGAGCAUUUUUCCCAUUUUUCCAGAGUCCAGGCGGUGGCCAUGACCCCCGAGCACGCCAGGCGUUAUCCCAGCUGAGCCUCCAGAGUCUCUGGGCUUUCUUCAUAG
rnacentral:lncRNA from 10 species